CUUAAAGGAAUUGACGGGGCCGCACAAGCGUGAGCAUGUGGUUAAUUCGAAGCAACGCGAAGAACCUUACCAGGUCUUGACAUCCCGAUGCUAUUUCUAGAGAUAGAAAGUUACUUCGGUACAUCGGUGACAGGUGGUGCAUGGUUGUCGUCAGCUCGUGUCGUGAGAUGUUGGGUUAAGUCCCGCAACGAGCGCAACCCCUAUUGUUAGUUGCCAUCAUUCAGUUGGGCACUCUAGCGAGACUGCCGGUAAUAAACCGGAGGGAGUGGGGAUGACGUCAAAUCAUCAUGCCCCUUAUGACCUGGGCUACACACGUGCUACAAUGGUUGGUACAACGAGUUGCGAGUCGGUGACGGCGAGCUAAUCUCUUAAAGCCAAUCUCAGUUCGGAUUGUAGGCUGCAACUCGCCUACAUGAAGUCGGAAUCGCUAGUAAUCGCGGAUCAGCACGCCGCGGUGAAUACGUUCCCGGGCCUU
rnacentral:rRNA from 1 species